rnacentral:rRNA from 1 species
GACGAACGCUGGCGGCGUGCUUAACACAUGCAAGUCGAGCGGAAAGGCCACUUCGGUGGUACUCGAGCGGCGAACGGGUGAGUAACACGUGAGUAAUCUGCCCUUCACUUUGGGAUAACCCCCGGAAACGGGAGCUAAUACCGGAUACGACCUUCAACCGCAUGGUUUGUUGGUGGAAACUUUUUGGGUGGGGGAUGUGCUCGCGGCCUAUCAGCUUGUUGGUGGGGUAAUGGCCUACCAAGGCUUUGACGGGUAGCCGGCCUGAGAGGGUGACCGGCCACACUGGGACUGAGACACGGCCCAGACUCCUACGGGAGGCAGCAGUGGGGAAUAUUGGACAAUGGGCGGAAGCCUGAUCCAGCAACGCCGCGUGAGGGAUGACGGCCUUCGGGUUGUAAACCUCUUUCAGCACCGACGAAGCGCAAGUGACGGUAGGUGCAGAAGAAGGACCGGCCAACUACGUGCCAGCAGCCGCAGUAACAC